GCAGGCUAGAGUCUUGUAGAGGGGGGUAGAAUUCCAGGUGUAGCGGUGAAAUGCGUAGAGAUCUGGAGGAAUACCGGUGGCGAAGGCGGCCCCCUGGACAAAGACUGACGCUCAGGUGCGAAAGCGUGGGGAGCAAACAGGAUUAGAUACCCUGGUAGUCCACGCCGUAAACGAUGUCGAUUUGGAGGUUGUGCCCUUGAGGCGUGGCUUCCGGAGCUAACGCGUUAAAUCGACCGCCUGGGGAGUACGGCCGCAAGGUUAAAACUCAAAUGAAUUGACGGGGGCCCGCACAAGCGGUGGAGCAUGUGGUUUAAUUCGAU
rnacentral:rRNA from 1 species